CUACUGGGAAAACCAACAGUCACUUAAAAUGGAAUUAAAAAGGUUUUAAACCACGCUUAAAGUAAAUAAUAAAUGAAAAAAAAGAAAAUGAACCAACUCUCAGAACUCUUCCUCUCUCAAUCUCUCUGUCUCGUCCAAUCUCAACGAUGCUCUCUCAAACUCUCACGCCCUCCUUCCAUCUCGUUCUCUCUCGAAACCGCCUCUCCAUAUCUCGUUCACGAACCUCUCUCUCAAACGCUCUCACUCAAACUCUCAAACUCUC
rnacentral:lncRNA from 1 species